UGGCCCGCGGAAUUCAGCGUGUGCGGAGGGUCCGGGAAUCGGGCCGGGGAUCUUCGGACCCCGCCCAGCUCUCGACUGGGCCCGACGCCGCGUGCACUUUCCGCGGGCAGAGCGCUACGACCGGUUUCGCGGCGGCGAUAAGCCCGUUCGGAUGCGUGGCACGAUCUCGCGGUCGUGCUACGGCCGCUCGAGGUGAGCCGCUGUCGGGACCGAGGAACGGCCGCGCGCUUCGAGGCUGCCCGGCCUCGCUGGGGAGUUCGACUGGCAGGGACUGGGCAACCGUGCCUGCCGACUGCUCCCCGGUGCCGGUUCGGGACAGCCGGGCGCGUCAGGGGGU
rnacentral:rRNA from 1 species